UGCGAUAACGAACGAGACCUCGGCCUGCUAAAUAGUUGAGCGAAUCCUCCGGGAUUCGUUUCAUAUAACUUCUUAGAGGGACUAUCGGUGAUUUAGCCGAUGGAAGUUCGAGGCAAUAACAGGUCUGUGAUGCCCUUAGAUGUUCUGGGCCGCACGCGCGCUACACUGAUACGUUCAUCGAGCUUACAACCUUGGUUGAGAGGCCUGGGUAAUCUUUUGAAACUUGAUCGUGCUGGGGAUAGUCCAUUGCAAUUAUUGGACUUCAACGAGGAAUUCCUAGUAAGCGUGAGUCAUCAGCUCGCGUUGAUUACGUCCCUGCCCUUUGUACACACCGCCCGUCGCUAAUACCGAUUGAAUGGAUA
rnacentral:rRNA from 1 species